UACGUAGGGACCAAGCGUUGUUCGGAUUUACUGGGCGUAAAGGGCGCGUAGGCGGCGCAGUAAGUCACUUGUGAAAUCUCCGGGCUUAACUCGGAGCGGCCAAGUGAUACUGCUGUGCUAGAGUGCAGAAAGGGCAAUCGGAAUUCUCGGUGUAGCGGUGAAAUGCGUAGAUAUCGAGAGGAACACCUGAGGCGAAGGCGGGUUGCUAGGCUGACACUGACGCUGAAGCGCGAAAGCUAGGGUAGCAAACGGG
rnacentral:rRNA from 1 species